GAUGAACGCUGGCGGCGUGCCUAAUACAUGCAAGUCGAGCGAACGGACGAGAAGCUUGCUUCUCUGAUGUUAGCGGCGGACGGGUGAGUAACACGUGGAUAACCUACCUAUAAGACUGGGAUAACUUCGGGAAACCGGAGCUAAUACCGGAUAAUAUUUUGAGCCGCAUGGUUCAAAAGUGAAAGACGGUCUUGCUGUCACUUAUAGAUGGAUCCGCGCUGCAUUAGCUAGUUGGUAAGGUAACGGCUUACCAAGGCAACGAUGCAUAGCCGACCUGAGAGGGUGAUCGGCCACACUGGAACUGAGACACGGUCCAGACUCCUACGGGAGGCAGCAGUAGGGAAUCUUCCGCAAUGGGCGAAAGCCUGACGGAGCAACGCCGCGUGAGUGAUGAAGGUCUUCGGAUCGUAAAACUCUGUUAUUAGGGAAGAACAUAUGUGUAAGUAACUGUGCACAUCUUGACGGUACCUAAUCAGAAAGCCACGGCUAACUACG
rnacentral:rRNA from 1 species